AGAGUUUGAUCAUGGCUCAGAACGAACGCUGGCGGCAGGCCUAACACAUGCAAGUCGAACGGGAACCCCUUCGGGGGUCGACCGUGGCGGACGGGUGAGGAACACGUAGCUAACCUGCCCUGCUCUGGGGGAUAGCCACCGGAAACGGUGCGUAAUACCGCAUGAGGUCGUUCGUGGGGACACGAACGAGCAAAGGACUUUGGUCUGGAGUGGGAGGGGGCUGCGGCCGAUUAGCUAGUUGGUGGGGUAAGAGCCUACCAAGGCGAUGAUCGGUAGCUGGUCUGAGAGGACGAUCAGCCACACUGGGACUGAGACACGGCCCAGACUCCUACGGGAGGCAGCAGUGGGGAAUCUUGCGCAAUGGGGGAAACCCUGACGCAGCCAUGCCGCGUGUAUGAUGAAGGUCUUAGGGUUGUAAAAUACUUUCACCGGGGACGAUAAUGACGGUACCCGGAGAAGAAGCCCCGGCUAACUUCGUGCCAGCAGCCGCGGUAAUACGAAGGGGGCUAGCGUUGCUCGGAUUUACUGGGCGUAAAGGGCGCGUAGGCGGAUGACCAAGUUGGGGGUGAAAGCCCGGGGCUCAACCUCGGAAUUGCCUUCAAAACUGGUCGUCUUGAGUAUGAGAGAGGUGUGUGGAACUCCGAGUGUAGAGGUGAAAUUCGUAGAUAUUCGGAAGAACACCAGUGGCGAAGGCGACACACUGGCUCAUUACUGACGCUGAGGCGCGAAAGCGUGGGGAGCAAACAGGAUUAGAUACCCCCGUAGUCC
rnacentral:rRNA from 1 species